rnacentral:ncRNA from 1 species
CCGCCGGGACGACCCGGCCGCGCCAGGGCUGUUUUUCCGGGACGACCCGG